rnacentral:rRNA from 1 species
AGAGUUUGAUCCUGGCUCAGGACGAACGCUGGCGGCGCGCCUAACACAUGCAAGUCGAACGGUGAAGAGGAGCUUGCUCCUUGGAACAGUGGCGGACGGGUGAGUAACACGUGAGCAACCUGGCUCUAAGAGGGGGACAACAGUUGGAAACGACUGCUAAUACCGCAUAACGUAUCGGGAUGGCAUCUUCCUGAUACCAAAGAUUUUAUCGCUUAGAGAUGGGCUCGCGUCUGAUUAGAUAGUUGGCGGGGUAACGGCCCACCAAGUCGACGAUCAGUAGCCGGACUGAGAGGUUGAACGGCCACAUUGGGACUGAGACACGGCCCAGACUCCUACGGGAGGCAGCAGUGGGGGAUAUUGGACAAUGGGGGCAACCCUGAUCCAGCGACGCCGCGUGAGGGAAGAAGGUUUUCGGAUUGUAAACCUCUGUUGACGGAGAAAAAAAUGAUGGUAUCCGUUUAGAAAGCCACGGCUAACUACGUGCCAGCAGCCGCGGUAAUACGUAGGUGGCAAGCGUUGUCCGGAAUUACUGGGUGUAAAGGGAGUGUAGGCGGGAUAUCAAGUCAGAAGUGAAAAUUACGGGCUCAACUCGUAACCUGCUUUUGAAACUGACAUUCUUGAGUGAAGUAGAGGCAAGCGGAAUUCCUAGUGUAGCGGUGAAAUGCGUAGAUAUUAGGAGGAACACCAGUGGCGAAGGCGGCUUGCUGGGCUUUUACUGACGCUGAGGCUCGAAAGCGUGGGGAGCAAACAGGAUUAGAUACCCUGGUAGUCCACGCCGUAAACGAUGAUUACUAGGUGUGGGGGGAUUGACCCCUUCCGUGCCGGAGUAAACACAAUAAGUAAUCCACCUGGGGAGUACGACCGCAAGGUUGAAACUCAAAGGAAUUGACGGGGGCCCGCACAAGCAGUGGAG